AGCUGCAGCGAAAGCACGUGGAAUGCACAGUUCACGAUGGAUCACUGAAGUUAAGCAACGUUUCGCGUGGUUGGUAUCCAGAUGGGUGACCACCCAAGUAUUCGCGUGCUGGUUUUC
rnacentral:rRNA from 1 species